UACGAGGGGGGCGAGCGUUGUUCGGAAUUAUUGGGCGUAAAGGGUGCGUAGGCGGCCUGACAAGUCUGAUGUGAAAUCCCUGGGCUCAACCCAGGGCCUGCAUCGGAAACUGUCGGGCUUGAGUAUGGGAGAGGUGAGUGGAAUUUCCGGUGUAGCGGUGAAAUGCGCAGAUAUCGGGAAGAACACCCGUGGCGAAGGCGGCUCUCUGGGACGGUACUGACGCUGAGACGCGAAAGCGUGGGGGAGCGAACAGGA
rnacentral:rRNA from 1 species